rnacentral:rRNA from 1 species
ACGCGUGAGAACAUGCCUUUAGAUUGGGGACAACAGUUGGAAACGACUGCUAAUACCGAAUGUGCCUUAGGGUGAAAGAUUUAUUGUCUAGAGAUUGGCUCGCGUCAGAUUAGCUAGUUGGAGUGGUAACGGCACACCAAGGCGACGAUCUGUACUUGGUCUGAGAGGAUGACCAGGCACACUGGAACUGAGACACGGUCCAGACUCCUACGGGAGGCAGCAGUGGGGAAUUUUCCGCAAUGGGCGAAAGCCUGACGGAGCAAUACCGCGUGAGGGAGGACGGCUUUUGGGUUGUAAACCUCUUUUAUCAGGGAAGAAUCGAUGACGGUACCUGAUGAAUCACCAUCGGCUAACUCCGUGCCAGCAGCCGCGGUAAUACGGAGGAUGCAAGCGUUAUCCGGAAUUAUUGGGCGUAAAGCGUCCGUAGGUGGUUUAUCAAGUCUGCUGUCAAAGCGAGCGGCUUAACCGCAUAAGGGCAGUGGAAACUGAUGAACUAGAGUGCGAUAGGGGUAACAGGAAUUCCCAGUGUAGCGGUGAAAUGCGUAGAUAUUGGGAAGAACACCAGCGGCGAAAGCGUGUUACUGGGUCUGCACUGACACUGAGGGACGAAAGCUAGGGGAGCGAAUGGGAUUAGAUACCCCA